UGUAAGAAAGACUAAGG
rnacentral:tRNA from 24 species